rnacentral:lncRNA from 1 species
AUGGUUAGAUACGUCCCUGCUUCUCCUCCUCCGGAGAUGAUGGUGAAGGAGGCCUAUGUCGUAUGGAGUAGGAAGCAGGUAGAGGAUUUGUUGAAAAGUUUUGACAUGGACAAAGACGGCAAGCUUUCCAAGCAGGAGUUGCAGGCAGCUCUCAAUAAACUUGGGUCGCGUUGUGUCUUCUUAAGAGUUUUGAGAGCUCUACGCCAUGCAGAUUCCAACAAGGACGGGUUGAUUUCUAUAGACGAUCACCUUGUCAACUAUCUCUUUGAGUGCCGUUAUAAGCUAUAA